AGAACGAACGCUGGCGGCAUGCCUAAUACAUGCAAGUCGAACGAACUCUUCGGAGUUAGUGGCGCACGGGUGCGUAACGCGUGGGAAUCUGCCCCUUGGUUCGGAAUAACAGUUGGAAACGACUGCUAAUACCGGAUGAUGACGAAAGUCCAAAGAUUUAUCGCCAAGGGAUGAGCCCGCGUAGGAUUAGCUAGUUGGUGAGGUAAAGGCUCACCAAGGCAACGAUCCUUAGCUGGUCUGAGAGGAUGAUCAGCCACACUGGGACUGAGACACGGCCCAGACUCCUACGGGAGCAGCAGUAGGGAAUAGUUGGACAAGUGGGCGAAAGCCUAGAUCCAAGCAAUGCCGCGUGAGUGAUGAAGGCCUUAGGUGUAAGCUUCUUUACCGAGUAUGAUAAUGGACAGUA
rnacentral:rRNA from 1 species